rnacentral:lncRNA from 1 species
GGAGGUCGAGGCAUAGAACCCAGUUGCUGAGGAGGUGCAGGUUGUUGUGGAGAUGCAUUAUAGUAGGGACCCCGCCACCCAGGAUACGCAGGUUGGCCAUACUCGUGGCUCGGUGGUGGUUGCUGUUGAUGUUGAGGCGGUGGAUAUGGGGGACCGGAAGUUUGCAAAUGAUAAGGCGGUGUAGGCUGCUGAGGAGGACCAUAAGGUAACGGAUUUUGAGUAUAACCAGGCAUCGUGGGCUGCUGCGGGUUACCAGCCAUUGCGGGCUGCUGAGAGGGGUGGUAAGUAGGAGUCGG